CACUGCUGAAGAGUCCAAAAAUAGGACGAAACAGCCGUCCAGGGC
rnacentral:hammerhead_ribozyme from 1 species